rnacentral:rRNA from 1 species
UACAGAGGUCUCAAGCGUUGUUCGGAUUCAUUGGGCGUAAAGGGUGCGUAGGCGGCUGGGUAAGUCUGCUGUGAAAUCCCGGGGCUCAACCCCGGAACUGCACUGGAUACUGCCUGGCUUGAGUGCUGGAGAGGAGACUGGAAUUUACGGUGUAGCAGUGAAAUGCGUAGAUAUCGUAAGGAAGGCCAGUGGCGAAGGCGAGUCUCUGGACAGCAACUGACGCUGAGGCACGAAGGCCAGGGGAGCAAACGGG